GACGAACGCUGGCAGCGUGCUUAACACAUGCAAGUCGAACGAGAGGAGAAGGAAGCUUGCUUCUUUCAAAUCUAGUGGCAAACGGGUGAGUAACACGUAAACAACCUGCCUUCAGGAUGGGGACAACAGACGGAAACGACUGCUAAUACCGAAUACGUUCCUUAGGUCGCAUGACUUUAGGAAGAAAGGGUGGCCUCUACUUGUAAGCUAUCGCCUGAAGAGGGGUUUGCGUCUGAUUAGGUAGUUGGUGAGGUAACGGCCCACCAAGCCGACGAUCAGUAGCCGGUCUGAGAGGAUGAACGGCCACACUGGAACUGAGACACGGUCCAGACUCCUACGGGAGGCAGCAGUGGGGAAUCUUCCGCAAUGGGCGAAAGCCUGACGGAGCAACGCCGCGUGAGUGAAG
rnacentral:rRNA from 1 species